rnacentral:lncRNA from 1 species
UUAAAAUGUUUUCAUUUGUAAUCUUCAUGAAAAAACCAAUAAAAGAAAGUGUCAUUUUCUCUAUUCAUUCAUUAUUUUUUCAUGUGUCUGUCACUUUUUUAGAUACAUAUCUCUUUUAUUUUGAUUAUUUUCUUUUCUUUUUUGUUUCAGUUUUUCCAGGCCUUUGACUUCCUUUGGGCCUUUAUCGUUUUUGGGUCAUUAUUUUAGUCCGCUUGGUUUCAUGUGUUUUUGCAUUUUUAAUAAUAGCCUAGUACUUUUCUUUAAAAAAAAAACCUAAACCAACCCGGGAUAUCCUUAGAAUGGGAUAUCCCUGAACCGGAUAUGCCUGGAAAAAGACAUCCCAGACCGGCAUAUCCCAAGAAUAGGAUAUCCUUUAAAUAAUAGCGACAGGUUGUCCGGUCCAUACAUACAAAAAAUCUGAACCGGCCACUAAAACAACUGAACCGGACUACAAAAACACUGAACCGAAACGGGAUAUGAAGGGGAUAUCCCCGGAAUAGCUUAAUCAAUCUUGAAAUAUUCCUCGGUUAUCCCUCCAACAGAAAAAAGUAGAAAGUUAAAUAUGUACACAAUAUAUUCUAACUGGUGUCUUCUUAUAUAUGCAUUACGUAAAUUGCUGCAAAACAAUUAAUUAAAAUACAUCCAAUAAUAUUUUUAUAAAUGUUAAAUAGAAUCGGUCCUGAUUUAUCAGUUAAUAUGAAGUACAUGAAUAACUUUUCAGUUAUUGUAAACUUCAUUGAAAAAACAAUAAUUAAAAGAAAUGUUUUCUUAUUAUUUGGUCAUGUAUCUGUUAUUUUUUUUACACUUCUUUUUUUAAAUUCAGGCACCAUUAGAAAUAGAAAAUCCUCCAUAUUUGAAUGUAUUAUAUUUUUUGAGGGAAAAAGAAAACAUUAUUUCAAAUAUACAGAACAGAAAAAAUCCAACGAAUGAUAAUCAAAAAAAUAAAAAGCCGAACUGGGAUAUUCCGAGAGUAGGAUACACCCAAUCCGGGAUAAACCUGAAUGGGAUACCACAAAGCCGAGAUAUCACUAGAAUAGGAUAUCCCUGAGAGAAAUAAGUAUGACAGGUAGCCCGGUCCAAACAAGAAAAAAAUCUGAACCGGCCACUAAAACACUUAAACCGGAAGCAAAAAAUUGUGAACCGGAAGAAGAAAAUGCAGGAUAUCCGAGGAAUAACUUAAUCUAAGAAGGAAUAGUAGCGGAAUAUGACAGGGAUAAAUCCGGAGAGGAAUAGGACAGAAAAUUAACUAUAGCAGGAUAUCCUAAGAAUAGCUUAAUCUGAGAAGGAAUAGUCUCGGAAUAUGACAGGAAUAAAUCCGGAGAGGAAUAGGAUAGAAAAUUAACAACAGCAGGACAGUUAAAAAUCUGUACCGGAUAGAAGAUUCAUUACGACAAAACAGAAUAAUCCAAAGCAUGAAGUCCAAAUAAAAUUAGAUUGAUGGCAACGGUACCAUUUAUGGUAAUUAAAACAUUACUACUGUUUUAGAAGGAAAAAAACGUUAGGAAAAGGUAAGGGGAAAUCAGAGAGAAGAAAGUGGAACUUUAAACCUUGUCUUACAAUAGUGUUAAAAAUGAUUUUGAAAUCACUAAUUUUCCACAUAAAAUACGCUUACGCGUGGUUACCCGGAAAAUGAGGGAAAAUUAAUUUCAAAUUUGAAACCUUAAUUUCUUCAAAAAUCAAAUGAAAGCAGUGAAACAAGACAAUUCGAAGCUUCUAUCAAGGGAUCAACUAAAAGACAUGUACUUUUUCAACAUUUCAGUAAGAGAACAAAAUUUUCGAAAUAAAGAACAAUUAAGUAUACUGUUUGGCUUCCGAAGACUAACGUCAAGUUUAAAACAAAUUUCCCUCAAUUUUCUUCAAUCAGAAACCAAACAGAAUAAUAAGAUGGUGAAGAAAAAUUAAGAUUUUUUAAAAGAAUCAAAAUUUAUACCUAAAAUGAUAGAAUAGCACUACCUCGACUCUUUCAUUGGGAAGAAGCUUCCACUGAUUCAUGAAUUCAAUCCUUUUCUUUUCCUUUUUAGCAUAACAAUAUUAUAAUAUUUUAUUUUAUUUUAUUUUUACCGGCAAGAUAAAAUAUUUAGAGGGGUCGGGUCAAUUAGUUUUAUAUAUAUUUAAUAGAUAAUAAAACCUAGACAUUGGUAAAAAACUAUUAUCGUUAAAAAAACGAAAUCCCUGAAAAAGACGCAAUGAAAAUAUUAGUAAAAAUAAGCAUAUAUCUGCAACUAAAAACAGAGAUAAUGAGGAAAGAGAUAGUUUAAUUAUAUUCAUACCUGAAAUCAAUCUCCGAUGAUGUAGGGGGUUUCAAGAAUUAGAAAAAGAAAAGAAACAGCAAAAAAAAUAAAACAAAAAACGGAAUUUAGUUACCCGAAGCUAAAAAAAUUUGAGGAAAAAAUUGAAAGGGUAUUGAGAGAGAGAUAGAGACGGCGUAUGAAUGGGAGAGCUAUAGAUUGAGGAAACACAGGAAAAGAGGCUGAGAAAAGAAAAAACAAGAGAGAAGGAAAAUAUUUGUAAAGAAGGUAAAAAAAAGUAGAUAAAAUGGGAGAAAGGAACGUUAGAAAUAUAGGAAAAAUAGGACAGAAUAUGGGAAUAAGGUGGUCAUUUACUGCCAACUGGUAAGUUUCACUUAUUGUAAUAUUUAUGAAAAAAACAAAAAGAGAAAAUUCCCAGUACAAUUUUAGAUUUUUUGAUUCCCAUUUAAGUAAUUGACAGACUUUUUUUAUUGUUGAUUUCUAAACCUGAAAACCAAAUGCCAUAAAAUAAACCAAGAAAUACCAGUACAAUAACAUAGUUCUUAAAUUAAAAGAGAAACAGAAAAGACAAUGUUGAAGCAAAGAUUCAUACCUGACGCAAGGGAAUCCAAAAAUCCCAAAAACAGAAACGGCAGAGAAAAUCACAGUAUAGUGUGUCUUUGAAUUCUUUCGGGAUAUAAGAGGUAAAAUUUGAAAUGAGACAGACAUAAUAAAGGAGAGAAUAAAAGGGGAAGAAAUGCUAGAAAAAAAAGGAAAAUGAGGAGAGAAUAAGCUAUGAAAACAUGCCCAUUAUCACAAGCCACAGAAACUAAUCAGAAAACCGAAAACCAUGACCAUUAUCAAAGCCCAAAAAAACAGGACAACUAUCCCAAGUCGCAAAAAACCAAUGGCCACAUAGGCCCUGAACAAAAAGAACACGAACCCGAUCCAAAUACCACGAAACCGUCCCAUCUAAACAAACCACCCCAAAACAGAGAUGACAAAGAACCAAAAACUCAAACAAAAGCAGACUGAAAAACAAGGAAAGAAGCAUUGAUAUGAUAAUUAAAAUAGAGAUAAAAAGGUAGAGACUAGAGACAAACUUAUUCUAAAGAUGAAAACAAAAAAUCAACAGAGAAAAAAAAAGCAUAGAUCUGAAAUUAAAAAAAUACAAGAAAAGGCAAAUACACAGUUAACGUAAAUAUUCAUACCUGAAAUGACUCUCCCAUGAAGCAGGGAAUUUCAACAUCACAACAAACAGAACCGGCAGAGAAAAACUUAUGGGCUUCUCCCUCUCACAAAAACUAUCUUCCUACUGUUGAGUGUUUGUGUCUGUGUUUUGCCUGUGGUUACACAAAGCUAUAAAAGAAUGACAGGAAAAAAAUAAAAAGAGACCAAAAGAGAAUCCACGAAGUACGAGAUGGGAGGAAGAGAGAAUAAUGAAAACAAAAAAGAAAGAGGGAAUGUAUGGAAUGAAGCAUGAUUUGAGUAUUUAAAAUUUGGGAAGGAAGUGGGAUGUGAAAAGGCUAAAGAAAACGGGCAGCGGGGC